ACGCAGCGAAAUGCGAUAAGUAAUGUGAAUUGCAGAAUUCAGUGAAUCAUCGAAUCUUUGAACGCACAUUGCGCCCCCCAGUAUUCUGGAGGGCAUGCCUGUUCGAGCGUCAUUUCAACCAUCAAGCCCCGGGCUUGUGUUGGGGACCUGCGGCUGCC
rnacentral:rRNA from 1 species